ensembl:misc_RNA Metazoa_SRP Metazoan signal recognition particle RNA
ACUGGGUGUGGUGGCAUGUGCUUGUAGUACUAGGUGCUUGGGAGGCUGAGGCAAGAGAAUUGCCUGAGUCCAGGAGUGCUGGGCUAUGAUGUGCUAUGCUGAUUGGGUGUCUGCACUAAGAGUGGCACCAAUAUGGUGACCUCCCAGGAGCGAGGGACCACCAGGUUGCCUAAGGACGGGUGAACUGGCCCAGUUUGGAAAUGGAGCAGGUCAAAAUUCCCAUGCUGAUCAAUAGUGGGAUUGCACUUGUGAAUAGCCACUGCACUGCAGGCUGGGCAACAUAGCGAGACCCUGUCUCA